UACGUAUGGUGCAAGCGUUAUCCGGAUUUACUGGGUGUAAAGGGAGCGUAGACGGCAUAGCAAGUCUGAAGUGAAAGCCCGUGGCUCAACCGCGGAACUGCUUUGGAAACUGUUAAGCUGGAGUACUGGAGAGGCAAGCGGAAUUCCUAGUGUAGCGGUGAAAUGCGUAGAUAUUAGGAGGAACACCAGUGGCGAAGGCGGCUUGCUGGACAGAGACUGACGUUGAGGCUCGAAAGCGUGGGGAGCAAACAGG
rnacentral:rRNA from 1 species